GGCCCCAUAGGUGGCUAUGGGGUUCUUGCGAGCUCUUGCGGGCGUUCACGCAGCGCCGCGGUCACGCCCAGCACUCACGUGCUUGGAUGCGAUUUAGGACUGCAGGUGCCAUGCAUCCUUUACAGCGUGUCUUCCGAGCACAGAGGCUAUCAGCACCAUUGACCUCCAUGUGCUGGGUGUUGCUUAGGACCUUCAGGGCACAUAACAGCACUUCCUGUCCUGAUCCAGAGGGGAAGAGCUCAGAAGGAGUUCAGAAGGAUUUCAGCUCCAGGCUAGCCACUGGACCGUCUUUUCAGCAUUUUUUAAGAAGUGCUUCAGUUCCUCAAGAGAAACCAUCUUCUCCAGAAGUGGAGGACCCACCUCCCUAUCUCUCAGGGGAUGAACUUCUAGGAAGGCAGAGAAAGGUCUACCUCGAGACCUAUGGCUGUCAGAUGAAUGUGAAUGACACAGAGAUAGCCUGGUCCAUUUUACAGAAGAGCGGCUACUUGCGGACCAGCAACCUUCAAGAGGCUGAUGUGAUCCUUCUUGUCACGUGUUCUAUCAGGGAGAAGGCUGAGCAGACCAUCUGGAACCGUUUACAUCAGCUAAAAGUCCUGAAGGCAAAGCGACCACGCUCUCGGGUACCUCUGAGGAUUGGGAUUCUAGGCUGUAUGGCUGAGAGACUGAAGGGAGAGAUCCUCAACAGGGAGAAAAUGGUAGAUCUCUUGGCUGGUCCAGAUGCCUAUCGAGACCUUCCACGGCUGCUGGCUGUUGUGGAGUCAGGUCAGCAAGCAGCAAAUGUGCUUCUCUCUCUGGAUGAGACCUACGCGGAUAUCAUGCCAGUCCAAACGAGCCCCAGUGCCACUUCUGCCUUCGUGUCAAUCAUGCGGGGCUGCGACAACAUGUGCAGUUACUGUAUCGUUCCUUUCACUCGGGGCAGGGAGAGGAGUCGGCCAGUUGCCUCCAUUCUAGAUGAAGUGAGGAAGCUCUCUGAGCAGGGGCUAAAAGAAGUGACACUUCUAGGUCAGAAUGUUAAUAGUUUUCGGGACAAUUCAGAAGUCCAGUUCAGUAGUACAGGAUCUGCCAACCUCAGCCGUGGCUUUACUACCAACUAUAAACCCAAACAAGGAGGGCUUCGUUUUUCUCACCUUCUGGAUCAGGUUUCAAGAAUAGAUCCUGAAAUGAGGAUUCGUUUCACCUCUCCUCACCCCAAGGAUUUUCCCGAUGAGGUUCUACAGCUGAUUCGUGAGAGACACAACAUCUGUAAGCAGAUCCACUUGCCAGCCCAGAGUGGGAGCAGCCGUGUACUGGAGGCCAUGCGGAGAGGAUAUUCAAGAGAAGCAUACGUGGCUCUGGUUCAUCAUAUCAGGGAGGCUAUCCCAGGUGUGGGCCUCAGCAGCGACUUCAUCACUGGCUUCUGUGGAGAGACAGAGGAUGAUCACCUGCAGACAGUGUCUCUACUUCGAGAAGUUCAGUACAAUACUGGUUUUCUCUUUGCAUACAGCAUGAGGCAAAAGACACGAGCGUAUCAUAGGCUGAAGGAUGACGUUCCAGAAGAAGUAAAAUUAAGGCGUUUGGAGGAACUUAUUACUGUCUUCCGAGAAGAAGCUUCAAAAGUCAAUGCGACCUCAGUAGGUUGUACCCAGCUGGUAUUGGUUGAAGGGUUCAGCAAGCGUUCUAACACAGACCUGUGUGGCCGAAAUGAUGCAAACCUUAAGGUGAUUUUCCCUGAUGCCGAGGUGGAGGAUAUCACUGACCCUGGGCUCAAGGUCAGAGCUCAGCCUGGGGACUAUGUGCUGGUGAAGGUCUAUAUACCCAUGGCUGGCUGAAACUCCCUAUGUAGAUGAGACCUACCUGGAACUCAACACAGAUCUGUCUUCCUUCUGAACAUUGGGAUAAAAGAUCACCUCUGCCAGUUCUCAAACUCUCAAAGGACACAUUCUCUGCAGGACCACUAUGAAAGACUCAUCAAUGAAUUGCUUGACCUGAGUUGGUGGCUUAGUGGUGGACUUGGGCAGUUUUUUCUCAUGCUUUGGAGACAAGGUAAAGUCUUGAAGCAUCUUCGCACCAAAUGGAAGAGUACAUUUCUCUGUUGUCACUCAAACAACUGUUACAAUAAUAAAUUUCAUGAAUUAAUGGC